rnacentral:rRNA from 1 species
GACUCUCGGCAACGGAUAUCUCGGCUCUCGCAUCGAUGAAGAACGCAGCAAAAUGCGAUACUUGGUGUGAAUUGCAGAAUCCCGUGAAUCAUCGAGUUUUUGAACGCAAGUUGCGCCCGAAGCCAUUAUGCUGAGGGCACGUCUGCCUGGGCGUCACG